GGCCGAUUAGCUCAGUCGGUUAGAGCGUGGUGCUGAUAACACCAGGGUCGCGGGUUCAAUUCCCGCUCAGUCC
rnacentral:tRNA from 1 species